rnacentral:rRNA from 1 species
AUUGAACGCUGGCGGCAGGCCUAACACAUGCAAGUCGAACGAGUGGCGGACGGGUGAGUAAUGUAUGGGAAACUGCCCGAUGGAGGGGGAUAACUACUGGAAACGGUAGUUAAUACCGCAUACCAUCGGAUGUGCCCAGGUGGGAUUAGCUAGUAGGUGGGGUAACGGCUCACCUAGGCGACGAUCCAUAACUGGUCUGAGAGGUUGACCAGCCACACUGGAACUGAGACACGGUCCAUACUCCUACGGGAGGCAGCAGUGGGGAAUCUUGCACAAUGGGCGCAAGCCUGAUGCAGCAAUGCCGCGUGUAUGAAGAAGGCCUUCGGGUUGUAAAGUACUUUCAGCAGGGAAGCGUUACUCGCAGAAAAAGCACCGGCUAACUACGUGCCAGCCGCCGCGGUAAUAC